ACUUCCAGUGCCCGUGAAUGUAAGCGGUUACAUGUUAGGCUAAAGGCAUUACUAUUUUUUUAUAAUUUGUAUACAGAUGCAUGCAGUAACUUGAGUUCAGUGUCACAUUGUUGCGUCUAAAAAGCCCAAAGCUGAUAAGACUGGCGAUUGAUCCUAAAGCUGAUAACAGAUUUGACAGAAGAUUGCAUCUUCACAAUAUUAAAGGUUCAAUAUACAGUCAGCGUCUCAUAAGAAUAAAUCCCAAGAUCCAAGACUUGCUUAAAAGCUUAAUUAAGAGACCAUUCUGUGCCUCAAAGAAAUUGUUCAGGAAAGGGAGAAAUGGUGGAUUUGCAUUUUGGGUACAGUUCAAAGAGAGUUCAAAAUGGUCAAGCUCAUGGAAGAUCAG